rnacentral:tRNA from 2 species
GGGCGCAUGGCUCAGCUGGUUAGAGCGCCACAUUCACAUUGUGGAGGCCGAGGGUCCGAAUCCUUCUGCGCCCACCA